CCGUUCUUGGCCGUAGCGAUGGGGAGCGUAGCACCUGAGGCUCUGUUGCCACUGGACCCCGAGACAUUUGCUGCGGAGUCGCGCGAGGUGGUGGACUUCCUCGACGGCUACUACCGCAACGUCGAGAGGUACCCUGUCCGGUCCGACGUGGAGCCAGGGCGCCUCCGUGCGCUUCUUCCAAAGGCAGCGCCCAAGAACGGCGAGCCGAUGGACGCGAUACUGGAGGACGUGCAGCGGCACAUCGUUCCGGGGCUGACACACUGGCAGAGCCCCAACUUCUUCGCGUACUACCCCGGCAAUGCGAGCACGGCCGGGUUCGCCGGCGAGAUGCUCUCCGCCGGGCUCAACGUUGUCCCGUUCACGUGGGCUGCCUCGCCGGCCGCGACCGAGCUCGAGGGCAUCGUGGUGGACUGGAUGGCAAAGCUGGUGGGCCUCCCUGAACGCUUCCUCUUCUCUGGUGGCGGCGGCGGCGUGCUACACGGGAGCACCUGCGAGGCCGUGGUGUGCACGCUGGCGGCUGCGCGCCAUCGCGCGUUGAGCAGGCUCGGCGGCCAUGAGGGCAUCCUGAGGCUGGUGGUCUAUGCCUCGGACCAGAGCCACUCCACCUUUCAGAAGGGUGCGAGGAUCGUGGGGAUCCCGCCAUCCAACUUCCGUGUCAUUCCAACAUCGGUGGCAUCGGGCUACGGCCUCACCGGUGAUGGUGUCCGCGACGCGGUGGAAGCCGACAUUGCCAGCGGCCUUGUGCCGCUGUACCUGUGCGCCACCGUCGGCACGACUGGGCUCGGCGCGGUUGAUUCGGUGCGCGACCUCGGGGAGGUGGCGCGAUGUUACCGCAUGUGGCUACAUGUUGAUGCCGCGUACGGCGGUAGCGCGUUGAUCUGCCCCGAGUUCAAGGACUGCUUUGAUGGCAUUGAGUUCGCGGACUCUGUGAGCAUGAACCCGCACAAAUGGUUCCUCACCAACAUGGAUUGUUGUUGUCUCUGGGUGGCGAGCCCAGCCGCGCUAACCUGCGCACUGUCUACCAAUCCAGAAUAUCUCAAUAAUGUCACCGAGAAAAGUGCAACAGAGGUGGUCGACUACAAGGACUGGCAGAUGGCACUGUCACGCCCUUUCCGCGCCAUGAAGCUGUGGGUGGUCUUGUGCCGCUACGGCGCGGUGGGCAUGCGGGCAUACAUACGGAGGCACGUCGACAUGGCCAGGUGGUUUGAGCAGCAGCUGGAGGGCGACGAGAGGUUCGAGGUGGUGGUGCCGAGGAGAUUCUCCCUCGUCACCUUCCGCCUCCGCCCAAGGCACAAGGGUGACGAUGCCGCGGAGGCCUUGAGCCGCAAGCUACUCAUGGCCAUAAACUCUAGUGGCCGGGCCUUCAUGACACACUUUAUCGUGGAUAACAAGUUCGUUAUCCGCAUGGCUGUGGGCGGGGCCAUGACGGAGAUGCGCCAUGUUCGGGACGCAUGGGAGCUUGUCCAGGAGAAGACCAGGGAAGUAGGUAUCCCUCUCGGUGUUACUAAGAAACAUGCCCUAUAG
rnacentral:rRNA from 1 species